GCAACAGAAAAUAACUUAUAUAAACAUAUAUAUAAUAUACACGAGUUAAGUUCAAGGAUACGUGUCAUCCAUCAAAGCCGAGUAUCACACCAAGUUAUAUGUACAGAUACAAAAGAAGAAAUCAGUCCCAACCCUCACACGGGUUUUCUAAGCUGGAACCGAACUACUAAGACGUCCUACCCCUCUAAAAGUACUACAAAAGUGAGGGGAAAGUGAUACUAAGAUCAUCAAACAGGAGCGAAAGAUCCACUGCGACUAACUUUGGAGUGCAUUGUGCACAUUGUGCAAGAAAGAGGUCCAAAACAUGCUCCAUAUGAAGACUCCGCCGCGCGCCGGAUCCUCAUAGCUCAGCGGUUAGAACGAAACUCACAGGGCUCCUCUGCCGGACCCGUCUGGGGAGGGGGAAAAGAAAGAAAAGAAGGGUGAGAAUCUAGAGUUCUCAGUAAGGAAAAAGGGGAACCUAGGGUCUUUAUCUCUAAGUUGUCACGAAACAGAAAAAGAACAAAUACAGAGACUCAAGGCUCAAACAUAUUUAUGACAGGUAAGUAGCAUGAACAAGAAAGAAAUGGCAGUAAAUAAUUCACAAGAAGUUCAUAUGCGCAAACAAGAUGAUGCAUGCCUAUUCCUAGCGCAGGCCAUGAGCUCAUGCGUCGGUUGUCUACCCGCAACCCGACGUUACUAGAGUGAACCCCGAGUAUGGUCCCUUUACUGUGUCAAUUAGACACCUUGGCAUCACGGUUACCCGUGUCAAUUAGGCCUCAUUAUAAUAACAUUUCAAUGUGUAUCACAGUAAGGAAUAUUGCUAUCAAUUAGGCGAACAUUCCCGCAUUAGCAAUCUCAGGCUAUCCAUUAGGCGGGCACUUUCGCAUUAGCAGUACGGCACAAGGCCCAUUCAAUAUAAUUCUCAACUUUUAUUUCAUUCCUUGUUCCUCAUUUUUCUUUCUUCACUUUAUCUCUCAAUAUCAUUGUCUUUAACUUUAACCUUUCUUAGGGGCAACUUACACAUUUUCAUUAAACUAAGUCCUUGAACUUUUAUAGAAAUUCGGACAUAAUCUCCUCUAAAAUAGCACUAAAACCACCCUUACGGGUUCCCUCAGCUUUAACAACGUUCAAACUUUCCUUAACUAUUUACCAGGUAAACAUUCUUAAUUGGUCAUUAUACUCUCUUUAAUCCCUUUAGUUAUUGUAAAAUCACGGGUUUAGAAAAUAAAACUUAGUUCUGGGGCAUUCCGACCAUAACUAAAAAUUGUACAAAUGUUUUUAAAAUUCUGCUAUCAUUGCAGAAAACAGCAGUGAGCAGUAAAUUUGUUAAAUUCACUAAAAAUCCAGUUCUCAUCCAUUGCCUUUCAAAAUUUAUGUACUUAGACAAGACUCUUUCAGCUUUCCAGAAAACUAAAUUUCAGAUUAUUACCAUGUCACAUGAAAAAGUUAUGAGCUUAGGAACACAGCCCUGUUUUCAUAAACCAGUUCAGAGUUUCCAGCAAACAACUGAUUUUCCAAGUGACUUAUCUAAGUCUACAAAAUAGAUAUGAACAUGAAACUUGUACUCACUUAAAAUAUACUGAUAGAUCUUUAAAAUCCUUUUGGAAUCAACUCAAAAUUCUGUUUAAAUUAAAAGUUAUAGCAUCUGAAAGUUGGUACUGCAGAACCAGAAAAUUAGAAAAAUCUGCAGCAACCACUAAACUUCAAAAAAUCAUAUCUUCCAAACCGCUUGGCCAAAUUCUCUGAAAUAUUUAUGGCAUGUUCAAGACACACUAAAGUUUUACAGAAAAAUAAUCUCAGCUAAAAAUUAGGUCUGGACUGCUCCCAGAAAAUCAUUCGUUUUACUGCCAAUUAUGCAUAUUUCUGCAGAAAUUCUGCACAAAGCAUUUCCAACAACCUCACAUACCAAAUCCUAUAUUCAAGCCUAGGAUUCAUCUAAAACCAUAAUUUUACCGUGUGAUGGGCUGAAUUGAUUGGUUUGGUUACCAAUUAAAAGAAUUGGAGCUCAAUAAGGGUAGAAUCUUUAAUUUAGGAAAAAUCAACAGAACACAAGUUACUGGUUCUUACCCAACAAGAGGAACACUAAGAAAACCAGGAAAGGAAAGCGGUAGGGUUCCUUCUUUGGCUUCGGGUAGCAGCUCUCUUGAUGACCCUUCUCCUUUUUCUUGGUGGUGACGCACGCAGAUGAUGAUGAUUUCUGCUGGGUCUUCCUCUUCCUUCUUCUUGGCCGCCACUCUUGCUUCCUUUCUUCUCUUCGUGUGGUUUCCAGGAAAAUUAAGGGACUUGGCUCAUCUAUAUAUAUCUACAGAAGGUGGGAAGAGGUGAGCUGGUGUGACAAGGCUUCGUGGCCUCUUCCUCUUGCAACACCACAUCAUAGUAUUGAUUACAAUGAAGAGGUAACCAUGGUCUUGGACAACACGUUCGGUUGUGAGAGAAGAAGGGAAGAUGAGUUUAAUCAGAGUU
rnacentral:lncRNA from 1 species